AACAAUCUGGUUAUCAGAGCUUUGAAAGCUAACUCAAAGUCGUUCAAUUUGAGCUCCAAGAAAAUGACCGAGGUUCCCAAAUCGGUUUCGAGAUUAACAAAUAUUAUAACCCUUCAUUUGAACAAUAACUCUCUUACUUCUCUGCCUGUGGAACUGCAGACCUUACGAAACUUGACAGAACUCAAUUUGGGAAAUAAUUCUCUGGAGGAGAUCCCAGGUGUUCUGAGAAGGACUUGAUAACCUCACUCUCCUCAAUCUGAACCACAAUCACAUCACAGUCCUUCCACCAGAGAUAAAAAGUCUUUCUAACCUAGAAACCCUCAGCUUACUGGACAACCAGUUGGAGGAACUUCCUGUAGAAAUAGGUUUUCUCAAGAAGAUGGUUGAGAUGAAUUUAACGAACAACAAACUGUCCAGACUGCCCAAACAGAUAUACAGUUUGUCACAACUGGCCAGAUUAUAUCUGGCCAGAAACAACCUCACAGAACUGCCAGAGGGUGUUAUUGGGCUGAUGAAGCUCAGAGUGCUGGAUGUGGCUGGAAACCGUUUAUCCAUGUUUCCUGUCGACUUCCAGCUUCUGAGCCUGAAUGAGCUGCUCUGCGAAGGAAACACAUUUGUGAAGAAUAAGCUGAUGGAAUCUGUUCAAGCUGUGGAGGUGCUGUCAUUGAAGG